UGAGUAACCUGCCCUUAACUCUGGGAUAAGCCUGGGAAACUGGGUCUAAUACCGGAUAUGACUCCUCAUCGCAUGGGUGGGGGGUGGAAAGCUUUUUGUGGUUUUGGAUGGACUCGCGGCCUAUCAGCUUGUUGGUGAGGUAAUGGCUCACCAAGGCGACGAUGCGUAGCCGACCUGAGAGGGUGAUCGGCCACAUUGGAACUGAGACACGGUCCAGACCUCCGUAGGGA
rnacentral:rRNA from 1 species